UCUUCCCUACGGGAGGCAGCAGUGGGGAAUAUUGCACAAUGGGGGAAACCCUGAUGCAGCGACGCCGCGUGAGUGAAGAAGUAUUUCGGUAUGUAAAGCUCUAUCAGCAGGGAAGAAAAUGACGGUACCUGACUAAGAAGCCCCGGCUAACUACGUGCCAGCAGCCGCGGUAAUACAUAGGGAGCAAGCGUUAUCCGGAUUUAUUGGGUGUAAAGGGUGCGUAGACGGGAAAUUAAGUUAGUUGUGAAAUCCCUCGGCUUAACUGAGGAACUGCAACUAAAACUGAUUUUCUUGAGUACUGGAGA
rnacentral:rRNA from 1 species